rnacentral:ncRNA from 1 species
AGGAGCGGAAUGAUGGGAAACUAUCACGUUCCGUUCUGGAGAGCAGCGGCUCUUGUAAGGGAGUCGCUGACUUUAAU